rnacentral:misc_RNA from 1 species
AAGUCGUAACAAGGUUUCCGUAGGUGAACCUGCGGAAGGAUCAUUAAUACGCUUUUGUUUGUAACAAAACAAAACGUUUAAAACUCCAAAAUAAAUAGUGGAAAUAUAACUUCCGGAUGCGAAUGUUGGGGAACUGAGUAAAAUUGGUUCUUUUGAAAAAGGGACUUCAAGCAAUUGACACUUCAGAGUAGAGCAGUGAGGUGAAAUUCUCGUUUUCGAGCGAGAGUUUGGUUCUGAAAAACAUUUGUAUCCGGUUAUCAACAUCUGUUCUACAAACUACAAAAUAUCAAACAAUAAACCCCAUGUAAAACAACUUGAACUAAACAUGUUUUUGUUGUCUAUUCUUGCACUUGUGUGAGAAGAUACUACAAAGAAAAAACCUGAACUUAAGAACAACUCUUAACAACGGAUAUCUUGGUUCUC